UUUUGUUAUCAUCAAAUACAACUUACAUUUCAAUAUUAUAAAUGAACACGAAUGCGGCCACUUUCAUUUCAGACGGAAACCGUCUAAAAAUUAACCAAAAUGCUUAAAUUUUGAAGAUUUCAGUAAUUUAGCAUGACUUAAUGAUGCUAGUACGCGAUAUGUGUGCAUUGUAUUGUCAAAUACAGCUCAUAUUUAUGUAGCAGAAGCAUUUUACUUUCCAAAAUAUAGCUUAAUAUUCACAAUUUUGUAAAACUGCUAUAUUUUGGGGCCAAAAAGGGGUCUUACUGAACCUACUCCUUUAUAAGUAGUAUUUUUUUUAUGCUGUGCAGAUACUUUCUAUAUUUUUUAUUUGUUGUCUGUGCUUGUUUUUCAUUAAUUAUAAUUAUUUUUUUUAUUAUUUUUAUAGCACUGUCUAUAAAUGGCAUGUUAUACACAUAUAUGUUAAAUUUCAUCAUAUAACCAAACA
rnacentral:lncRNA from 1 species